CUCACCUACAGCAGAAUGGAAGAAUAAAGGCUAUAACAUACUACCACACUUUCUACAUAGAUAUAAAGUUAAGGGAGGGAGGAAAGGUGAUAGCCUGGGAUGCUGAGACCCAGGCUUAAUGCCGUGCUCCAGCAGAGACAGCUUGUGUAACUUUGGAUCUAGCCCUAUGUGUCUUGAUCAGAAGAGGUAGGUGCCUGAGUCCAAAAUUUAGAUCCUCAAAACCCAUACUAUUUCUACUGAUUAAAAUCUCCAUAGUGUCAAAGGUCAGUAGGCAUGUACACCACUGCUUAAAUCCUGAUGCUGAGUAUGUGACUUAGGGAAAGGUCUAGUCUGAGCUCUUGCAUUUGUCUGGCAGGGGCCCAAUAGGCUAGAUGUCCUCAGAUGUAUCUCUAUACAAUGCUUACGGGAUCAGGCCCUGCACAAAACAGCAGAAGGUGGUGUUUUAUCCAAUACUGCAUGGGUUACAGCACUUCAGUGGGAGGUGGGAAACCUAGAUUCAAGCCCCCUUCUCUGCUCUGCCCCCUCACUCCCAGAAAGAGGAGCAUGGAUGUGAAACCUGGGUCUUUUGCAGCCUGGGUGAAUGUGCUAACCACUGUUUUUUGGAUGUCAGGGGCCACCAUGAUUCUUUGUCAGAGCGGGCUACCUAGGUUUAGGCACCUAAUUCCAGAAGAGAGGCUGUAAAUGAUAAGUGGUGACUGGACUGUCUCUCCCACCCUGCCUGAAGCACAUACCCCUGUCCUCAGCAUUUUGUAUUGGAUAAUUUAGGUGGUUUCCCCCCUCAGCUUGUUGCCUUUUGUGGGUCCUGUUCUAGGUACCUAGGGCUCCCCUAGGAAGGCCAACAGGAAUCUUGCAUAUGUAACUAUUUGUCCCUAUGUAUCUAAUAGCUCUAAACACACUGAGUCAAGUAACUCAGAUUCCAGGAUUAACAUCUCAUAUGUGACAGUUACUUCAAA